rnacentral:rRNA from 1 species
GAUGAACGCUGGCGGCGUGCCUAAUACAUGCAAGUCGAGCGAACGGACGAGAAGCUUGCUUCUCUGAUGUUAGCGGCGGACGGGUGAGUAACACGUGGAUAACCUACCUAUAAGACUGGGAUAACUUCGGGAAACCGGAGCUACUACCGGAUAAUAUUUUGAACCGCAUGGUUCAAAAGUGAAAGACGGUCUUGCUGUCACUUAUAGAUGGAUCCGCGCUGCAUUAGCUAGUUGGUAAGGUAACGGCUUACCAAGGCAACGAUGCAUAGCCGACCUGAGAGGGUGAUCGGCCACACUGGAACUGAGACACGGUCCAGACUCCUACGGGAGGCAGCAGUAGGGAAUCUUCCGCAAUGGGCGAAAGCCUGACGGAGCAACGCCGCGUGAGUGAUGAAGGUCUUCGGAUCGUAAAACCCUGUUAUUAGGGAAGAACAUAUGUGUAAGUAACUGUGCACAUCUUGACGGUACCUAAUCAGAAAGCCACGGCUAACUACGUG